rnacentral:RNase_P_RNA from 1 species
CUGGCUAACGGCCAGGGGGGGCGACUCCACGGACCAGUGCCACAGAAAGCAGACCGCCGCGCGCGAGCGCGGUAAGGGUGAAACGGUGAGGUAAGAGCUCACCAGCGGCGCGGGUGACCGCGUCGGCUCGGCAAACCCCACCCGGAGCAAGACCGAAUAGGAGAGCGCAGGGUGGCCCGCCCGUGGCUCUCGGGUUAGGUCGCUGGAGGCGCCGGGCAACCGGCGUCCUAGAGAAAUGACCGUCGCCCCGCGAGGGGCACAGAACCCGGCUUACAGGCCCUCUCUGGCG